UGUUCCUCCAUCAAGUUAAAGCUUGUUCUGUUGAAACAGAGCAUCCAGCUUAAUUCAAAAGAACUGGUCCCGAUGUCCACAUGACAGCAAGGUUUUGAAUGAUUGUAGGGCCCUAACUGCGUAUUUCAUUUUCUGCAGAAAGAUUACAGAAGAGAUCUGGAGACUGAAGUGAAAGGGAAAGGCAUGCAGGUCAGCGCGGACACUCUCGAUGUCCAGAGAGCUAAGCGCGCGUCCGAGAUGGCCAGCGAGAAACAAUAUAAGAAAGACUUAGAAAGUGAAAUUAAGGGGAAAGGAAUGCAGUUGAGCAUGGAUAUCCCAGGCGUGCUUCAAGCCAAGAGGGCAUCUGAAAUCUUCAGCCAG